AUUGAACGCUGGCGGCAUGCUUUACACAUGCAAGUCGAACGGCAGCGCGGGGCAACCUGGCGGCGAGUGGCGAACGGGUGAGUAAUAUAUCGGAACGUACCCAGUAGUUGGGGAUAACGUAGCGAAAGGUACGCUAAUACCGCAUACGAUCUACGGAUUAAAGCAGGGGACCGCAAGGCCGUAUGCCGUUGUAGCGGCCGCUAUCUGAUUAGCUAGUUGGUGAGGUAAAGGCUCACCAAGGCGACGAUCAGUAGCUGGUCUGAGAGGACGAUCAGCCACACUGGAACUGAGACACGGUCCAGACUCCUACGGGAGGCAGCAGUGGGGAAUUUUGGACAAUGGGCGCAAGCCUGAUCCAGCAAUGCCGCGUGAGUGAAGAAGGCCUUCGGGUUGUAAAGCUCUGUUGUCAGGGAAGAAAAGGUAGAGGAGAAUAUCCUUUGCUAAUGACGGUACCUGAAGAAUAAGCACCGGCUAACUACGUG
rnacentral:rRNA from 1 species